AUAACCAAUUUUCCUAAUGUUAUUGGUGCUGUGGACUGCACCCAUAUUAGGAUUCAAUCUCCAGGUGGAGAAAAUGCUGAAAACUUUUGUAACAGGAAAGGCUAAUUUUCAAUUAAUGUUCAGACUGUGUCUGAUGCAAACUUAUACAUAAGGAUUUUCAAAAACUACACCUGACUAUUUGAUCUCCACAAACUUUAUUUGAAAAAUAUAUCACAUGUUUCGCUAAAAUUUAGCUUUUUCAAGUGAUUUCAAGUGAUUAUACAUAAGGAAUAUAGUUGCUCGCUGGCCAGGAUCUGAUAGACUCAUUUACAGUAAUAGCUGAUUGAAGGUUCAGCUCAACGGUGGGAUGUAUGGAAAUAGUUUCAUUGUAGAUAAUUCAGGCUAUACCCUGGACAACCAUAUAAUGAUUCCAGUAGCAAAUCCAAACACUGCUGCUGAAAAUCUUUAUAACGAAUCCCAAAUAAGAACCCGUAAUGUUGUAGAGCAACAAUAUGGAGUGUGGAAAAGAAGAUUUCAAGUUUUGAGACUAUAAAUGAGGGUGUUAUUGAACACCACUUUAGCCAUUGUAGUAGCUACGGGGGUAUUACAUAAUAUUGCUUUUAGCCAGAAUGAUGACUCACAAGACGACAAUCCCAUUGAACAAGAAGCAGAUGUGGAAGACAUUAAUGAAGAACAAAUUCAAGAAAAUGGACAUUUCACCAGACAAAAUUUGAUAGAUAAUUAUUUUGUGAAUUUGUUAAAAUAAAUGUGAUCGCAGCUCUCUAUUUACUAAUAUAAUAAAAAAAACGCUUUCUGGUA